AGUUUGAUUUCCUUCCGUUGCAAAUUGGCAAUUUUUGUUAUUUUUGCUCCCACUCCCUUAGUUUUGUGCCACCUAGCCUAGUAAACCCUACGUAUAGAUACUAUUUUCUCAUUAUUUUUCAGCUUUUCUUCUAUUCAUCUUCUAUUCUUGUUGUUACUCCAAUCUCUUACUUCUUUCUUCUAAAAUUUUUCUUCUUUCUUUCCUUUUUUUCGUCUUAGAACACAGUGAUUUCACCAUAGUUGUGUCACCCCUCUGUCUAAUAUUUUGCUAUUAUUUUUUCCAGCCACUUUGCUGAUUGUUUUAACCCUUUUGCUUCCCUAGAACUCUCCUUUAUGCUGCCCUAUUAGCCUCCAUUUGUUGUCCAUUGUCGCCCCCUUUCCUCCAUUCGUGGUGGUGUCGGUUAGUUCUCUUUUCCUCUCCCUUUUCUGUCAAUUUUUUCUACUAUCUUUCCAGCCAAUAAACUAUUGUUCCAGUCCUAAAAGGUGUUCCCUUUUUAUCCAAAGAUCUCUUUUUGUCCCAACCAAGCCAUCCCUUUUCUACUGCCGCUUGUGAUGUUGUCGCCCCUUGGAAAACCAUUGUUUUGGGCUACUAAUUUCUUUUCAGUUGUUUCCCCUUAUAGCAGUAAGUUUUUUUUUUUCUGCUUUAUUUAUAUCUAUCUGAAACAUUCUUAAUCAAUGGGGUAUCCUAAUACAUUCAUUCAACAUCUCAGAUCUGGUUAUUGGGUAGUGUACUGAUUUGAACGUACCAGCUCAGAAGUGAAGUUGAAAUUUCGUUCGCACCCUCGUUCCACAUAAAGUCAGUGUACGUUAAGGUUUAAGUGUGGAAGCACGAACUGUACGGAUCAGUGCUGCGGACUUGUGAGUUAAGGUAAUGAACGACAUGAGGAUCAGACCUGGCAUGCGAACGUUUCAUGGGCCAUUUUGAUAGUAGAAGAAGAUUCAGUUGAAGGGGACUACACCAGAGUUACGCUUGCGAGUGAGCCACUUGUUUAUUUUUGUAUCAUGCAUAGCUAUUCUGGCAAGUGGUUUAUAGAUUUUUUUUCUAUUCAACAUAUGUAAUUAUCCCUAUCGUUUACACUGUCUCUAUUUAGAAAAGAAUUUCCCCUUUUCCCUAAAA